rnacentral:rRNA from 1 species
UACGUAGGGUGCGAGCGUUAAUCGGAAUUACUGGGCGUAAAGCGUGCGCAGGCGGUUCGUUAAGUCAGAUGUGAAAGCCCCGGGCUCAACCUGGGAACUGCAUUUGAAACUGGCGGGCUUGAGUGUGGCAGAGGGGGGUGGAAUUCCGCGUGUAGCAGUGAAAUGCGUAGAGAUGCGGAGGAACACCGAUGGCGAAGGCAGCCCCCUGGGCCAACACUGACGCUGAGGCGCGAAGGCGUGGGGAGCGAACGGG